CCAGACUCUCCACUUGCCUUUAUUUAUAAUCCUAAUUGCACCCUCCAGGAAGAACAAUUGCUGAUCAACCCAGUUACAAAGUAAAGUUAAUACAAUGAAGAGACAGCAACGAAUGAUCGAUGCAAAGCUGCAGAGAGAGAGAGAGAGAAAGGGAGGAAGGAAGAGAAAGAGAGACAUCAACGUGAGAGAAAAACAUCACUCGGUUGCCUGCUGUACACCCCUGGACCGGGGAUCAAACCUGCAACCUAGAAUUAAACAAUGAGAAGAAAUCAGCCCAAGAAUCAGAAGGGGAACCAGAUCAAAGAGGAUUGGAAGGUAAUGGGAAGACCCAGGACAACCAUCAGGCGCAAGGAGGUGGAUAACUCAGAGGUCCAGACCCUGUG